GGCAGCCGUCCUCCAUAAGCACGCUGUGGCUGACUCCUUUACGACAUUCAUGCUUUGGGGCAGCCGUCCUCCAUAAGCACGCUGUGGCUGACUCCUUUACGGCAUUCAUAGCUGCCAUGGACAGAAGCUUCCUUCCCCAUCUCCAGGCCCAGCUGCAUCAAGUCACAGCACGAGUGGGCACGUGGAAUGUUACCCUGGAGCCAGGUUGCCACACAGAAUCAAAGGCCAAGAUCCUACUGGAGCAUCUAUGAAUUCCAUCCUUCUCUUGCAUUAGGAAGCUCAUGCUGUAGCCUAGCAUUGGAAUAAACAGAGAUUUGGAGGAACCAGA